GAAAUGCGAUAAGUAGUGUGAAUUGCAGAAUUCAGUGAAUCAUCGAAUCUUUGAACGCACCUUGCGCCCCUUGGUAUUCCAUGGGGCAUGCCUGUUCGAGCGUCAUUUGUACCCUCAAGCUCUGCUUGGUGUUGGGUGUUUGUCCCCGUCUCCGCGCGUGGACUCGCCCCAAAGUGAUUGGCAGCCGGCGUACUGGUCCCGGAGCGCAGCACAUGUCGCGCAAACGAGUGCCUUGGUACGGCGGCGUCCAUAAGCCCCUCUCUCACGCUCUUGACCUCGGAUCAGGUAGGGAUACCCGCUGAACUUACGC
rnacentral:misc_RNA from 1 species